AGUGAACGCUGGCGGUAGGCCUAACACAUGCAAGUCGAACGGCAGCACAGGAGAGCUUGCUCUCUGGGUGGCGAGUGGCGGACGGGUGAGGAAUACAUCGGAAUCUACUCUGUCGUGGGGGAGAACGUAGGGAAACUUACGCUAAUACCGCAUACGACCUACGGGUGAAAGCAGGGGAUCUUCGGACCUUGCGCGAUUGAAUGCGCCGAUGUCGGAUUAGCUAGUUGGCGGGGUAAAGGCCCACCAAGGCGACGAUCCGUAGCUGGUCUGAGAGGCUGAUCAGCCACACUGGAACUGAGACACGGUCCAGACUCCUACGGGAGGCAGCAGUGGGGAAUAUUGGACAAUGGGCGCAAGCCUGAUCCAGCCAUACCGCGUGGGUGAAGAAGGCCUUCGGGUUGUAAAGCCCUUUUGUUGGGAAAGAAAUCCAGCUGGCUAAUACCCGGUUGGGAUGACGGUACCCAAAGAAUAAGCACCGGCUAACUUCGUGCCAGCCGCCGCGGUAA
rnacentral:rRNA from 1 species